UACAUGAUGCCAUUGCUAUCUUGUCUUCCUCUGAAUCUGUGUGUACAGCUCGAAAGUACUACUCCAUGUCAAAUAGGAAGUUUUCAAGCUCCUUGGGAUCCCUUGGCCCCUCAUAGCAUUGAGGCUCUGGCACCUUGGCCUUUUUUCCCCUUUUUCGUCGAGCUCGAACCUGAUCUGGCCAUAGCCAUUUGAAAGAUGCUCACCUGUGCUCUGAACUCCUCAAACUCCUUUUGGAGGAUAUUCAAGGCAUUUCUAGCCUCCUCGCUCACGUUAUGGAGAGUAUCGGAUAACUCCUGCUGGGUUAUCUCGAUCUUUAGUCACCAUGUGAGUUUUCACUGUGGCCACUUCGGCCUCAAGUUUCUAAAUUUUUUGUUGAUAAUUAGGUCCACCACUUGUGGCCAUCUCUUCCAUUUCUAGCACUUCUCAACCGUGCUCUGAUACCACGUGUCACGGACUCGACUUUCCCUCAACAAGCAAUAGCCCGUGUGGCACUUGAAUGGACGCUUCCACCCAAGUUAGCCCUCAAUAGUUCGAUAUCUGAACAAAUAACCAUUAGCUACAGUUAGUCCCUAGCAUACGCAAUAAGACACAUUCAUAUCGAGAUCAAUCUCAAACACACACAAGAAAAUACAUUCACAUCGACAAAAGAAAAACACAUCAAGGCAAUAAUCGCGACAUUAGAAUCGAGGUGAAUUUCAUUAAAAUCGAUGAUGUUACAUCGGGACUUCCCACCAUCGCCAGGGCUAGGGGGCAGCCCUUAGAUGAUGGCUUAGGCCUGUAUCGCGACCGGUGAGAUAGCCCAACAGUAUGCUGCUCGCUUACCCCCUUAAAAAGCCUUAGAGAUUUUAGAGCUAUGUUACCACUAACCAUUACAAUAUUUGAAAUGGGGACAAUUUUCCUAGCACAAGAGAUCUACCCGGUCAUGGCCCUAUACAUGAGUGGCUAACGACAACCUAAGCCUCGGUCAUGGCCUUAUACAAGGUUGGCUCAUGACACUUUGCCUGCCCUUUAUAAUAAGAAAUUCCGGCUCGGCCCGGGAAAGCGCUGGCAACAACAGAAAGGAAGGGGUCCAUGUAACUGCUGCGCCCGCCCCUCUUCAACAUCAAUGGGGCAGCAGGUUCGGCAUCUACUAGAAAAGAGAGAAUCCACUUCAGAUAACCAUGCCUCUGCUAGGCAGCGUGUGGAAUGGCCAAGAGCGGACCUUUUUGGAUAUAUAAUCCAAGUCGAGAGUGGAGUUACGGGAACAGCCGUCUGAUGGAAAACAACUUUCACGUUCGGUUCAGAGAGCACUUUUUUCGUUGAGAAUUCCUCAUUCCCUUUCAUGUGAAUUCCCCAACGGUGAAUUCAAAACUUGUAGGGCCUAUCUAUUCCAUCUCUUGAGCCUAGGGUUGGCAUCGGGUCGGGUUUGGGGCGGAUUUUGCUUGCCCCGAACCCGACCCGAUUUAAUCUUUAUUAAACCCGAACCCGACCAUACCCGAAAUUUUUUUUUAUUUUUCAUACCUGAACCCGAUAUCAUGUAGACCGUACCCGACCUGAUCCGACUCGAAAUUAAUAAAAUAUUAUUUUUUUAAUAUAAAAUAUUUAAAAAUAUCAUUAUAUAAAUAUAUAUUUAUAUAUAAUAAAAAAUUAAAUAAUUAAUUAAAAAAUAAUUUUUUAUAUAAUAUCGAGUCGGGUCGGGUCGGGUUUUUGGCAAACCCGACCUCGAUCCGACCCCGAUUGUUUUCUUAUUUUAUCCAACCCGACCCCGAACCUAACCCGAUACCUGAAUUUCAAAAAAAACUGACCCCGUGAGGUCGGGUCGGGUCGGGCCGGAACCCGUCGGAGACGGGUUAGUUCGCCAUCCCUACUCGAGCCCCGAAGAAAACCCCCUCCCCUUCGGACUCCAUAUCUCUUUUGACUCUAUAUAUGUGGGCACCUGAUAUCUAUGAGGGUUCACCCACCCCGGUUACAGCAUUCCUUUCUAUUGCGCCUAAAAUUUCUAUUUCUGCUAAUAUUUCACGUGUUUCUAUUUAUGGUUCCUAUGGAGCUACAUUGCAACAAAUCUUCUUUUUUUGCAGCAUUGCUUCUAUGAUCUUAGGAGCACUGGCCGCCAUGGCCCAAACGAAAGUAAAAAGACCUCUAGCUCAUAGUUCAAUUGGACAUGUAGGUUAUAUUCGUACUGGUUUCUCAUGUGGAACCAUAGAAGGAAUUCAAUCACUACUAAUUGGUAUCUUUAUUUAUGCAUUAAUGACGAUAAAUGCAUUCGCCAUAGUUUCAGCAUUACGGCAAACCCGUGUCAAAUAUAUAGCGGAUUUGGGCGCUCUAGCCAAAACGAAUCCUAUUUCGGCUAUUACCUUCUCCAUUACUAUGUUCUCAUACGCAGGAACACCCCCGUUAGCCGGCUUUUGUAGCAAAUUCUAUUUGUUCUUCGCCGCUUUGGGUUGUGGGGCUUACUUCCUAGCCCCAGUGGGAGUAGUGACUAGCGUUAUAGGUUGUUGGGCGGCCGGAAGGUUGCCACGAGUAAGUCAGUUUGGGGGGCCGAAGGCCGUUCUCCGUGCACCGGACACGUAGCUUACCGAAUCAGUUGCGACACAGAUGGGAAUGCAUGCUACGAAAGAUAGGGUCGAGUCUGAUACAUCAACCGUCUACUCAAUAUCCUUGUAUGAGUCCACAAUCACUACACGAGAUGAACCUUGGUUUGGUGAAUUGAAGUUGGCCUUAGGUGUAAUAGGACUCCCAGUUACUGCACACGAUCGUAUAUUGAGGUGCUCCCCGUCGGUUGUUGGAACGACGGGAGUCGGGCCUGGCCUCAAUUCAGAAAGAUGAAGGGCCCAAAAGUCUAAAUAGGGGGUUCAAAAUUCCCCAUCUCAUUGGGGGCGGAAAACGAAUCGACAUCUCGAUGUGAUACAGCCUUUUCUAUUUUAGUUGGGAAAGAACGGCGAAGUCCAUCCGAAUCGUCCAAUGAAGAAUAAGAGGAGAGCAAAGCGCCAAUGGCGCGCGAAGCGCAUGCGGAGCGGGCACGGAGAAAAAGAAGUGUGGAGGAGAAGCAGCCGAGCUCAUUCCCAAAGCUUCCUGGACCCAAAGCAGUGCAGUCUUUCCUGGCCAAAUUGUGCAGUCUUUCCUGGCCAAAUCAAGGAUUUGGGGCUUUUUGCUACGCUACAACACUAUAUAAAUAGAAAGAUAGAUCCAUCCAUCUAUCCUAUCCAAUUUUGAUUUUGAUAUCUAAAAAAGAAUCGAUUUCAUUCAACGUUUGAUUCAACGAACUACGCUUAGCCCCCCCCCGCUCAUGAAACGACUUUGCUGCAAUGGAUAGCAGAGGGUCCGUAGUACCCAAAGCGCUAGAGUGAUCCAGUGGCCGGGAAAGGGGCCUAGAAGUGCCUACUACUACACCACACUACACUUGGCUCUACACAUUACCGAGCUAACCCCUGUCCAGUGCCUGGUAGAGGGGCGGGGGCUUCAAUCUUUAUUCCUUUUCCCCAUCUUCGCCCAGGCUAACGGGGCCUUACUUAUUCAGGGGGGAGAGUGGAGCCUCGAGAAGCACUGUUGAGAGGAAGAUCCUUGGCUCCUCUUCAUUCUCUACAGGGUUCCAAACCUUUCUUCAACAUAGGUGACAACGCGGGGCAGAGAUGGAAGAGAUCGAACAAAUAUGGAAAAAGAAGAAUAUUGAAAACGUUCCUAACCCCUUCGUAGAGCUGUGUAUUGUAAGUGAUCCGAACCUGCCCGGAGCGAGCCUCCCAUAGAGGCAAGUGAAGUUGGUGAGCCGUAUGAUGGGCAACUAUCUCCUGCGGUUCGGAGAGGACUCAGCUGUUAGUUAGUACCCCCUUGGUUUCGGGGUGGACCCUUUCACUCUAUUUUAUUAUAUACGCUUAGCGAAAAGAAUGUUUUUUGAUACACCUAGGACAUGGAUUCUAUAUGAACCAAUGGAUCGUAACAAGUCGUUACUACUAGCAAUGACUUCCUCUUUCAUUACUUCAUCCUUUCUAUAUCCCUCUCCUUUGUUCUCAGUUACUCAUCAAAUGGCACUCAGUUCAUAUCUUUAAGUUCGAUCAUUGACAAGGGUUCAAAGAAAGGGUGGCCCAUUGAUAAAGAAUCGAUUACAAACCAAUAGGGUCUUCGGGAGGAAUUUUUCAAGUAGAAGAAGGAAGGGAUUACUGGUUGAUGGAAUGCUUGCUUGCUGUCAGGCAGAGAUGCACAUAACGAGUUCUUUGAAGGGAAAGAAUAGGGCAAGGAAGUGAAAUUGUUGAUGCAGAGAAUGCCCUGAGAGAAGGAAUUGAAUCAAUAAAGGAAGAAUGCGCUCUUGCUGCAAGAAUGGCUUUAAGACGGGCUUGCCCCUCGCUUUCUAACUAUCUUAUUUUUGAAUCUCUUUUUCUGUGCUUUUUAGUGAGGGAGCGAAGCCGUGGGUCUCACCUGUAAUCCCGGAAUGGAAUAGCCGUACGAGGGAAUGUGAGGUCUCAGAGUCGGUGUAAAAGUUCUCUACCUCUACAUAAAUUACAUCUUUCCUAUAUGAAGACAGAGUACCAAUCAAAGGAGUACUCAUUCUCUCAAACUAGAAAGCUCUUUUUAGAUAUAAAAAUGGUUCAUAUUUCCUUGUAGUACUCAUACGCCUGGUUAACAAUAAAAAUCUACGUCACAUGCUAGAUGCAGUACAGUUUCGUACAAGCCAAGCACAGACCUCACCCACUACUACCGGCUUUCGCUGGCCUGGGAGAGCGAGUCAUUAAGCUAAGGCUAAGAUGUCCCGGUACUCUGGAAAUCUGACUUCUGCUCAAAGGAAUGAGUGGGCGUAGGAGUCAAGGGAAUGAACACAACACAUACUGGGUCUCCAGGUGAAUAAACCCAAGGUCUAAACCUGUGUUGUAGCGGAAAAGAAAAGGGAAGACAGAUACAGAUCCCAAAAGCUCAUAAGAAGUCCCAAGGUUAGGUACGCCUACUGCAACGCUUUGGAGUGAAUGCGUAGCUCUGAGCUCAUGGUCUUUCUUUGCUUUCGGAGGUAGGAAAUAGAAUAAAAGUCCAAAAGCUUGAGGCAGCUGUGUCUGUGUAGUGACUCCGUACCCAGUGUGGGUUGGUUGACUCCCUGCUUCCCACGGGCUAACUAGAUAAGAUGAAAUGACUCUACUAUAUAAUAGAAAUAGGCACCAGGUCUCGUCUAUAAAGACAAGGCCGAGGACGAAGCUAGAGUGCUUUCGUGUAAGUAUGUGAAACAGAGCCAGUAGAAGAGAACUCGGAUUCCCGGCGUGAAAGCUCAUACCUCAUAAAUUACAUAUAUGAAGAUAGUGUUGCACCUGAAGUAAUAAUCACAAAAUUACAGAAGCAAUAGACAACAAUCAAUAAUCAAAUAUGUAGGAAAAAUAAAGCACACCAAGAUUUACGUGAAAAACCCUCCAGUAUAGAGGAAAAAAUCACGGACCACUAGAAAAAUCUUCACUAUCAAAUAAUAGUUAUACAAAGUUCUUCUCUAGCUAAAACUAGAGCUAAUCAAUAACUAGAGAAACAAUUAGAGAAAUUUCACCAAAUAAGUGACUCAACAAAUACACCUUGGAUUUGUUCCUAGAAAGCUUCAAACCCGAUCUUCACCGUUCAGAAUGUAUAACUCUGAAUCAUAAACCUCCUGACAUGGUUCCAACUCAAUCGGACCACGGAUCGACUUCCGUUUAACCAACUCUCUCUUCUCUUUUUUCUCUCUUUGCUUUUCCUGGCUUUUUUUCUUUUUCUGCUUGGUUGUCGACACACAUAUAAAACAACCCCACCUCUUUUUUAUUAAGUAGCUAAGGCUCUGUGUAAAAUAAAAGAUCAAGGACCAUGGCCUUUACUUGGUCCAAAACCACUUAUAUGGGACUGGACCCCAUUUUCCUAACAAUCUCCCCCUUCAGCCCCAUUAGGAGGAGAUUCAUCACCAUAGCAGUUUCAUUUGAAACUUACCUUGGCCAGGGAACUCAUUCCGGCCAAGUUACUGCAAAGCUCAAGCUUUUCCCUGAGAAGUAUCUUAGUCAACAUAUCUGUCACAUUUUUAUCAGUAUGGACUUUUUUCAAUAGCAUCUGCUGUUCUUCAAUCACUGAACGUAACCAAUGAUAUCUAACAUCAAUGUGCUUUGUUCUAGCAUGGUACAUGGUAUUCUUACUCAAAUCUAAAGCACUCUGGCUAUCACAAAAUAUCACAUACUCUUUCUGAUUCAACCCCAAUUCAAGAAGAAAACGUUUCAUCCAAAGCAUUUCUUUACAUGCUUCAGUUGCUGCAAUAUACUCAGCCUCUGUAGUUGACAAAGCAACACACUUCUGCAACUUAGACUGCCAAGAUACAGCUCCUCCUGCAAAAGUGAAUAAAUACCCUGAAGUAGAUUUCCUACCAUCAAGAUCGCCUGCCAUGUCAGCAUUAGUAAACCCUUUUAGAAUUGGUUGUGAAACUCCAUAAGUCAAACACAUUUUUGAGGUACCCCUCAAAUAUCUAAAACUCCAUUUUACUGCUUCUCAGUGAACCUUCCCUGGAUUAGAAAGAAAUCUGCUCACUACACCAACUGCAUGAGCAAUGUUAGGCCUUGUACAAACCAUAAGAUACAUUAAAGAACCGACUGCAGAAGAAUAAGGAAUACUAGACAUAGCUAGUUGCUCUUCCUUAGACACUGGACAAGAUUUCUUACUUAGAUGAAAAUGGUUGGCAAGUGAACUGCUAACUGAUUUAGCAUGUUGCAUGUUAAAUCUACCAAGCACUCGUUCAACAUACUUUUCCUGUGACAACCACAGCUUUUCAGCUCUCCUAUCUCGGAUAAUGUCCAUACCAAGAAUCUAUUUUACUGGACCUAAAUCCUUCAUAUCAAAGGACCUAGACAAUUGUUCUUUCAACCUGCAAACCAUACUAGCAUCUUAUCCUACAAUCAACAUAUCAUCAACAUAUAAUAAUAGGAUAAUAAAGUACCAUUAGGGAAUUGUUUAACAUACACACAAGAAUUCGCUGCUGUUCUUUUAUAGCUAUGACUCACCAUAAAAGAAUCAAACUUCUUGUACCACUGUCGCGGAGCUUGUUUCAAGCCAUAGAAGAUUUUUUUCAAUUUGCAAACUAAGUGCUCUUUCCCUUUCACUUCAAAACCCUCAGGCUGAUUUAUAUAAAUGUCCUCUUGUAAAUCACCAUGCAAAAAUGCAGUUUUAACAUCAAGUUGCUCAAGCUCAAGAUUCAAACUAGCUACCAAUCCCAGUACCACUUGAAUAGAACUCAUUUUUACAACUGGAGCAAAAAUCUCAUCAAAAUCGAUGCCUGGUUUCUGAGAAAAACCUUUUACUACCAAUCGAGCUUUGUACCUCACUAGUUUGUUACCAUCUUUUUUCAACUUGAACACCCAUUUAUUCUUUAAUGACCUCUUCCCUGUUGAAAGUUUAACAAGAUCAUAAGUACCAUUCUUUCGUAAUGACUCCAUCUCUUCUUUCAUUACUUUUAACCAGUGCUCUCUAUCUGGAGUAGCCUGCACAUCUUGAAAGCUUUCUGGCUCCCCUUCACUGGUAACUAAAAUAAAAUCUGAACUUGGAUACCUGGUAGAUGGCAUGCGCUCUCUAGUAGAUCUCCUGGGCUGAGACUCUACAUCACUUGAUGCUGAAGGUAGCUCCCCCUACUCAACACUCUCAGGUAGAGAGGAUUGCUCCCCCUGCUCAAAACUAAUAACAUCUGGCUCAUCACCAACUGUGGCUGGCUCAUUCAUAUCCCCAAGUUCUGUUUCUGGCUCAUUUUCACCAUCUGUGGCUUUUUCUUGUGAAAUCCCUGUCGGUGUUGAAACAUCACACUCAACAGUAACUCGUGUAGUCUUCUCAUUUUUCUCAAGGUCUGCUAUGGUUUCUUUUUCAUGAAAGACCAUAUCUCUGCUUCUGACUGUCUUUCUCUUUACUGGAUCCCAUACCCUGUAGCCAAAUUUCUCAUCACCAUAUCCUACAAACACACAUUGUGUGGCUGUACUGUCAAGCUUUGAUCUCUGCUUUUUCGGUACAUGCAUGAAUGCUUUACACCCAAAAACUUUCAAGUGAGAGUAUGAAGCAUCUUUCCUUGUCCACACUCUUUCUGGAAUGUCAAAGCCCAAAGGAACUGAUGGUGACUUGUUAAGUAAAUAACAAGCUGUGUUGACUGCUUCACCCCAGAAUGGCUUUGGUAAUUUUGCCAUCCUCAACAUACAUCUGACUUUUUCCACAAUGGUGCGAUUUAUUCUUUCAGCUAUACCAUUAUGCUGCGGUGUUCCAGGUUCUGUCCUCUCAUGCCUGAUCUCAUGCUUUGAGCAAUACUCUUCAAAGCCUUUAGAUGUGUAUUCCUCACCAUUAUCAGUUCGAAUACACUUCAAGGGUAACCCUGUCAUCCUUUCAACCAUGGCAUGAAAUUUUUGAAAAUACUGCAGUACCUGACUUUUAUAUUUCAACAUAUACACCCAAGUCUUACGUGAAGCAUCAUCAAUAAAAGUAACAAAAUAUCUGUUACCACCUAAUGACUCAACCUCAAUGGGACCACAUACGUCAGAAUAAAUUAAUUCCAAUCUAUGUUCUUUUCUCUGAGAACUUUUACGAAAAGAAACUCUAUGAUGCUUACCAAACAAAUAAUAAUCACAUGAAUCGAGAGACAUACCUUUGGUCAAGGGAAUGAAAGACUGCCUUGCCAAAACCUGUAACCCUUUUUCACUUAUGUGUGCCAGCCUCCUGUGCCACAAGUUUGCUGAAGCAUCAUUUUCAACGGUAUUUACCUGGUUACCGUUCAAUUGCAUCCAUGUCUUAUACAUUGUGCAGCAUAGUUUUCCCCUUGCAACUAUCAUAGAUCCUUUGAGAAGCUUCCACUGUCCAUUCUUUUGUCGGCUUUCAUAUCCCUCCUUAUCAAGGACAUUAAUAGCAAGCAAGUUCAUUCUCAUAUCUGGAAUGUGUCUGACAUCCCUCAAAGUCAACAUGUAGCCUGUACUAGUUUGUACAACAAUAUCACCAAUCCCAACAAUCUGCGACACACUCUUGUUUCCCAUCUUGGUACAACCAAAGUCUCCUGCUUUGUAAGUUGUAAACAACUCUCUCUUAGGAACACAAUGAUAUGCCGCUCCUGUGUCAACUAUCCACUCAAUGCCGGGAUCACUAACAUGAUUACAAUCACCAUGUGUACAAAUCAAAGUAACUGAAUCACUAUCUGAAUUCACUGCUGCAACAUUGCCAUCAUCUGAACUCUUACCUUUCUCAUCUUUUCGCUCUUGCUUCAAGAUUCUACAGUUUCGUUUUAUAUGACUCGCCUUACCACAAUGGAAACACUUCACUUUACCUCUAGACUUGGAUCUAUGUUUAGACUUACCACGACCUUUUGAGUCCUGACCUCUGUCGAUGUUUCUACCUCUGUUCUCUGUAACCAGAGCUUGAUUCUCAGGGUCACAUCUUUUCGUCUCGCUUCUUCAUUAAGCAUACUGUCCUUUACCAUCUCCAAUGUCACCUUAUAAUCAGGAGCUGAAUUAAGAACAGUCAUAACUAGAGUAUUCCAGCUGUCUGGCAAUGAACCCAAAAGAAAUAAUACCUUCAUUUCAUCAUCCAUCUUAAGUUUCCAUAGUAGUCAUCCGAUUAAAUAUAUCUUGAAAAUCACUCAAGUGCUCUGUAACAGAUCGUCCAUCCUUGUACUGUAAAGUUGCAAUCUUUUUAACAAGCAUAACUUUAUUCAUACCUAUUUUUCUCUCAUACAAUGCUGCCAAUUUUUUUCAAACAAUGUGAGCAUCUGAUUCUGCGCUACAUGAUGGAACACGCUGAUAUCAACCCAUUUUCUGAUUGUAGCCAACGUCUUUCUACUUAGCUUCUUCCAGCUUUCAUCUUUCAUAUCUGCUGGUUUAGCCGAAUCACCCAAUAUUGGCUUAUACAAAUCUUUGCAGUAUAGAUGAUCCUCCAUCAUAGGCUUCCAAAUUGAAUAAUUUGAUGCUGUCAAUUUUAUCAUGGAACCUAUAUCACCCUCCAUGAUCUCAAACAGAAUUUACUUCUAUCUUGGGUUGCUUCUGUAUCGAUGUCUCAAAAUAACUCUCGCUCUGAUACCACUUGUUGUGCCUAAAGCAAUAAUCACAACAAUACAGAAGCAAUAGACAACAAUCAAUAAUCAAAUGCGCAGAAAAAAUAAAGCACACCAAGAUUUACGUGGAAAACCCUCUAGUGUAGAGGAAAAAACCACGGGCCACCAGAAAAAUCUUCACUAUCAAAUAAUAGUUAUACAAAGUUCUUCUCUAGCUAAAACUAGAGCUAAUCAACAACUAGAGAAACAAUUGGAGAAAUCUCACCAAAUAAGUGACUUAACAAAUACACCCUGGAUUUGUUCCUAGAGAGCUUCAAACCCGAUCUUCAUCGUUCAGAAUGUAUAACUCUGAAUCAUAAACCUCCUGAUAAGGUUCCAACUCAAUCGGACCACAGAUCGACUUCCGUUUAACCAACUCUCCCUUCUUUUUUUCUCUCUUUGCUUUUCUUGGCUUUUCUUCUUUUUCUACUUGAUUGUCGACACACACAUAAAACAACCCCACCUCUUUUUUAUUAAGUAGCUAAGGCUCUGUGUAAAAUAAAAGAUCAAGGCCCAUGGCCUUUACUUGGUCCAAAACCACUUAUAUGAGACUGGACCCCAUUUUCCUAACAGACAGAGCCAACUAUUACCAUUCCCGCUUGCAAAGUAUAGGCUACACAAGCAAAGGGUAUUUAAGCAAGUGAGUCUCUGCUUGCUUUCUUGAAAUCUCCUUCUUUUAGAAUAUAAAUAAUAAUAUAGAGAAGAGAGAGCCUAUUUUAUUGCCUAGUCCAAUCCCUAGAAAGUAGUAUUACCACAGCUACACAGGAACAAAAAUCAAUCUACGUAUUAUUUUCUUUUGUCACAUGCUAUUUGCUUAACACGUACAAAUCGAAGUCAAAGACUAAGACUUGACUUCGUCUCUUCUUGCACUACCGGUGUGUAUAGACAGAGUGUCACGGUCCAUGCAUUUCCCCUACUGAAAUCGCGCAACCGUGCGGCACCAAGACUACUCUUAGUCAAGGUCAGCCUUCACCAUGCCCAUUUUUCUUCGUAGACUGCCCAAAUCCGAUCCUUCGAGCCGCAUACCCACGAGCUUUUUCUGGCUUUUGGCCCCGUAGAGUUGUUUAUUCUGAACUCUAUAAAGAGGAACUCAUCUCUCAUCGCGUAUCGGCUCAUGGUUCUCCAAGUGACCAUGAGCACCCAGCUCUGGCCGCAAGGCUUAAUGCUUCGAGCCCCGACCCUCGAAUCUCGUAGGGGCACACAGCCCCGUUUCUCUUGAUGUUAUUACAUCUUGGCAUGGUGAGAACCCAACACCAUGCCCGUCCGUAUGAUACACAAGCUCCCAUAUCAAGUUUACGCACGCACCCCACUUAAGCUGGUCAGCAAUCAGCUCAGAGCCUUCAGGCUCCUCUCGCCCCACGGGACUCGAUUAUUACGGUUUAGGCCCUUAGCAUCAGUAUCGACUGCCCGCACGCAUGAUUGACACCCAACAUCAUGCUAGUCCCGCAAGGAGACUCAGGUGGACUGCCUCAACUGCAGCACACCAGCCCGACUGGCCACAGGGGUCUAGCAGCGUGCCUGUCUGCUAGCCCGCACAUCUCUUUGGCUCGAUGGUAUCCCUCAUACACAAACACCAUCACAUGAUUCUUCCAGCUCGAGGACGGGAAAUCAAGGGGCCUAACGAUCUCUACCGUCCAACCACAUGGUUCAAUGUAAAGGCGUGAUACGAGGCCCGCCGGCCCCAACCGCCCUCGGGUUUACCAUGACCCGAAGAAACAUCGUGCCACGCUCGUGACCCUACGAUGCCCGCCCACCUAGCCACCACUAGUGACUAGGAGUAGCUCACUUCAGACUAGCUAGGCCCCCCCGCCUGCCCGCUAGCCAAGGGGGUGGUGGAGAGCUGACACCAGUCGUCCCCCUAUAAAGAGCGUUAGAGAUUUUCCCAAUAUGCUACCAGUGAUCGUAAGAAUAUCUGAAAAUGGGGACACUUUUCUGCCCAGCCACCUCAGGGCCUUUCUCCAGCUAACUCAAGGCCCCGUAACCUUCCUCUUGGUCACCAUUGCUCCUUGAUUCUGCUCGUUGCUCCACCAACCCACUCGAAGGUGCCCGCACAUGGCUUCGACCAACAGCAACUGUCUGGCUAGUUGGUCCUAGGGCACCGGUGUAAUGCCUUAUACUUACCUGUAUAUCUCGGGGUUUAGGACAUGGACCAUCCAUACACAAUGUUCCUAACCUAUUCCCAUGCUCAGAACGCCCGCACAUUGCUUCCACAGAUGGCACUCGCCAGGCUACUUGGCUUGAGGGUGUCCGACUACUGUCCCGAACUUCCCCACGUAUAUUGCGGCUCAGGGCUCCCAUUGCCCCUACAGCAUGUUAGCAUCAUGUUUCAAAGCUCCGAAUGCACGCCUGCAUUCCUUAGAACCACUUUUUGCCAGCUCGAUCUCGAUCGCUGCUUGGUCCAGGGUCAAUCAUGGCAGGACCAAGGCCUGACCAUCACACUCUCCCCCACUUACUAUGUCGAUGCCCUCAUCGACGUCUAGACCACGCCCAACUAUCUUGUUGCACACAACUGACAUUUGCUCAUAUGUCUCUCACUUGUGCCCUCAAGAAUUGGGUCGAGGUCCCGUCACAUGAAGCACCACCCACAAUACUCAUCCAUUGUUGAUGUAGAUGGGUCACUUUGUCGCACUCCUAUCGCUCAGCUCGGUUCCUGCUUGGACCGUUUAACCUUGUCUUGGUUGUUCCAUAUGGGCCAUACCAUGGCUUCAUCUCUUGAUCAUGUCAUGUUGUGACCUUGAGGCACCCUCAUCGAUCAAUGACCCUCAGUAGAAUGAAUAACCACCCGCUUUGCCCCUCAUUGGUGCAUCCCACCGGACAUGACCCCUCACACCAACUGCACGCUUGCAGCACCAACCCACUGAUGCGCCCCUCUGGGCAUGGUGCUUAGGUCAACCGCACUCAUACGACACCCUACAUGAUAGACCCUAGCACAGUGGCAUUCAGGCACUUUGGUCAUCUCUCAACUUGGGUCCUCUCGGCCCCUCCAAGGUCACCCCUCUAGGUGUGGCCCUCUGGCCAACCGCCCUCAAGACGGCACCUUAAAGCGCACUAACUUGGUCUUUGCCCCCGGCUUGAACACUGUGCUCCAUUACCCAAGCUCCUCUAUCUUGGCUCCGUCUCACGGGGAAUUGACAGGUCUCCCCCACUUUUACUUGAAACUCAGCACAAUAUUAUGCACAACCAUAUCUCCUUGAUGGUUUUAUGGCUCGAUAGUUUUGACUCCAGUCCAGUUCCUAGGGCAUCCCAAAAUUUGCUUAUACUCAGAGAUCCACUGAUCUAACAGCACUUCUAGCCCACUGAUUUGCUUGACUCGAGGAUUCACCCGCUCCAUCCUCAAGGUCCAAUGACCUACACGUCUGAGGCUUGUCAACUGGCCGUUUCCCUUUGCUUGUUCCACUGGAUUACAUCCUGUCGUGGCCCAUUGACCACCACUACUCGUGAAGCCUUCCCUUUCGGCCAAUACAAGUUUGAUAUCCUGAUUCACACACACACUCUCGUGAUCCUCUGACCAUAAGAACUCACGGUCCACUGACCAACGCAGCUCAUGGUCCACUGACCAUCUCGCUUGUGGCUUCAAUCUUUUAGCCACUUCAUGCUCUUCUGUGUAGUAGUCUCAUGCUUGGACCCGAAUACUUCGGCUUACACCCCCGCUGGGGCACCUGCACCCCCGCUGGGCACCUGCACCAUACAGCAAGUGCACACAUUAGUAAUUUAUCUUGUAACUCGACACCUCCUGCCCCUCAAGACAGGGUCACUCGGCCCACGUGGCCUUACGCAACACCAUUUCAUGGUGUAAGCCCCUUUUUCGCAUCUCGGUCUCACUACGAUUCCUUCCACCGUAAAGGCAUCACAUGCCGUAACAUAUGCCAACACCUUUUUCUAGGUGAGGCUAGACUCUGGUGCCUUUUUGCUUGGCAUCUGAGAGUCUACUCGACAGCCAUUUUAUAUAGGCCCACUAUUUCUCGCAGCACGCAUCGUUGGCUUUUUCCUGAGCCCCCAUAGGCACAAAACCCGUAUUUAUGUCUCGAUAGCUCCAUUUGAGCUUGGCACUACCGUAAUUUCGAAUCACUAGACCCACACGUAUGGUUGCGUAACUCUCGCCACUGAGCCAACCUAGGCUCUGAUACCAAAUUUGUCACGGUCCACGCGUUCCCCCUACUGAAAUCGCACAACCGUGCGGCACCAAGACUACUCUUAGUCAAGGUCAGCCUUCACCAUGCCCAUUUUUCUUCGUAGACUGCCCAAAUCCGAUCUUUCGAGCCGCAUACCCACGAGCCUUUUCUGGCUUUUGGCCCCAUAGGGUUGUUUAUUUCGAACUCUAUAGAGAGGAACCCAUCUCUCAUCGCGCAUCGGCUCAUGGUUCUUCAAGUGACCAUGAGCACCCAGCUCUGGCCGCAAGGCUUAAUGCUUCGAGCCCCGACCCUCGAAUCUCGUAGGGGCACACAACCCCGUUUCUCUUGAUGUUAUUACAUCUUGGCAUGGUGAGAACCCAACACCAUGCCCGCCCGUAUGAUACGCAAGCUCCCGUAUCAAGUUUACGCACGCACCCCACUUAAGUUGGUCAGCAGUCAGCUUAGAGCCUUCAGGCUCCUCUCGCCCCACGGGACUCGAUUCUUAGGGUUUAGGCCCUUAGCAUCAGUAUCGGCCGCCCACACGCAUGAUUGACACCCAACAUCAUGCUAGUCCCGCAAGAAGACUCAGGUGGACUGCCCCAGCUGCAGCACACCAGCCCGACUGGCCACAGGGGUCUAGCAGCGUGCCUGCCUGCUAGCCCGCGCAUCCCUUUGGCUCGAUGGUAUCCCUCCUACGCAAACACCAUCACAUGACCCUUCCGGCUCGAGGAGGGGAAACCAAGGGGCCUAACAAUCUCUACCGUCCAACCCCAUGGUUCAACGCAAAGGCGCAAUACGAGGCCCGUCGGCCCCAACCGCCCCCGGGUUUAUCGUGACCCGAAAAAACAUCGUGCCACGCUCGUGACCCUACGAUGCCUGCCCACCUAGCCACCACUAGUGACUAGGAAUAGCUCACUUCAGACUAGCCAGGCCCCCCCGUCUGCCCGCUAGCCAAAGGGGUGGUGGAGAGCUGACACCAGUCGUCCCCCUAUAAAGAGCGUUAGAGAUUUUCUCAAUAUGCUACCAGUGACCGUAAGAAUGUCUGAAACGGGGACACUUUUCUGUCCAGCCACCUCAGGGCCUUUCUCCGGUUAACUUAAGGCCCCGUAACCUUCCUCUUGGUCACCAUUGCUCCUUAAUUCUGCUCGUUGCUCCACCAACCCACUCGAAGGUGCCCGCACAUGGCUUCGACCGACAGCACCUGUCUGGCUAGCUGGUCCUAGGGCACCGGUGUAAUGCCUUAUACUUACCUGUAUAUCUCGGGGUUUAGGACAUGGACCGUCCACACACAAUGUUUCUAACCUAUUCUCAUGCUCAGAAUGCCCGCACACUGCUUUCACAGAUGGCACCCGCCAGGCUACUUGGCUUGAGGGUGUCCGACCACUGUCCUGAACUUCUCCGCGUAUAUUACAGCUCAGGGCUCCCAUUGCCCCUACAACAUAUUAGCAUCAUGUUUCAAAGCUCCGAAUGCACGCUCACAUUCCUUAAAACCACUUUUCCGUCAUCUCGAUCUCAAUCGCUGUUUGGUCCAAGGUCAAUCAUGAUAAGACCAAGGCCUGACCAUCACACAGAGCCAAGACCAUGGUUUUAUCUGAGUCAGUAUCCACCACAAUCAGUCUUGCUUCUUGUCUUGGGAUGAGUGAAUUCACUUAAUAGAAGGUAAUGCGUUCGAAUGCAGACAUGGUGUCUUUUCUUUCGGUCAGCGGGACAUAGACCCUGAGUCCUAAAUAACAGAAAAAGUUCCCAGGAGUGGUUCUCCAUAAGGAGGAAUGACGCCAAAAGCGAAUGCAUUAAUCCGUUUCAGGGGUUAGGUAGGAUGAGUCCAAGUAAAAUAGUGCGAACACCGAGCCAAGGCAGGGGUACUCACACGAGGUGUCUGUUAAGGGAAGAAAAGAAUCUAGAAGCUCUGUUCCCAGUGCGAAUGCAUUAUGCCCGGUUGACUCAGUUAAACCAGCUAACAACACUCUGAACUCCGAGUGGCAUAGGCGCGGGAAGACCAGUAAAAAGGUCUCGUAAAGGUUUUCCUUGGGCAGCUAAAAACCAUUGAUCCGCUGGGAGUCACACCAAGAAUUUUUUGACCAACGCUUUGCUUUAGUGUCUAUGGGUGCGUAUAUGCCCUAGACCGUUUCGUUUAUACCGGCUUCUUGGAGUAAGAUAGAAGAGAAAGAUCUCAUUAUGUGCCAUGGCACUACCAACUCAGAGCGUG
rnacentral:lncRNA from 1 species